AGAAUAAGCUUAAGAGAAAGAAGGUGAAGAAGGCUGUCAUGAAAUACUGUAAGGAUGCUCUCCCACCCCCCAUGCCCGAAGCAACGUCACUUCAGGUCUCUGAGCACAGCUGGCCAAGGUCACCAGGUUCCAGGAGCUCUGGAAACGACGACCUCACUCUUAAAUGCUCGGCCCUUGCCUUGUCUGAGGCACAGAAGAAACUGAACCGUUUAGGUGGCUGUGGACUGCAGGAGCCCUUCUCUGUCCAACACACCAAAAGGGGUACCAAUCUCUGAGAUUGCAUCCUCCCAGCUGGCGAUCACUUUUCACCCCUCAGGUGAUGCAAACUACAGUAAUCCCAUUGCAGAGGCACCCACAACCUGGCUAUGACAUCUUUCUCCACACUGAUCCCUGAAUGUGGCUGUAGUGUGGCUGAGGUCCCUCCAGAAGUACCUUUGAAGAAGAUGCUUUCCAGCAGACAAUGAGGGCUGCUGCCUGGUUCACGGCACACUAUUGGCGCAUUUCCUGAUCUCAAGACUGCUCUUUUUGGCCAACAUUAUUAAAACCUUGCCAUCUGCCCAUCAGGUCCUAAAAGUUCUGACUUAAACAUUUGUGCUGAAGAUUAUAUUCCUAAUUUAAAUUCUUACUCAUAUUUGUUUGCAGACUGAUUUUUUUUAAGACCCUGGGUCUGUGUACUCAUAUUAAUUCUCUCAGUUGCUUAUGAAACGAAUUAACACAACUUCUUUUCUUUAGUUAGAUUUUUAUUGAGUUAUCACUGAGAGACAGGACAGAAUUGUAGAAGGAGAACUGAGAAUUUUUAAACUAUUAAGGGUUAUUUAAGUUAUUAUUUUAUUAACAUUUCUGACUAUAAACCUACUGCAGAGUCAUUUUACAAGGUAUAAAAAACUGGGGAAAAUUUAAAUCACCAAGAUAAAAGUACAAUAAUCUCACCAGCCAAGAGCAAUGACUGUUCACAUUUUGAUAUAUUUUCUUCCAAUCUUUUUUCCCUACAGUUUUUAGUAGGAAGAGUAGAUCUAUUUUUAUUCAUAGCUCCCUUCAUCGAAGAAUGGACACUGUGCUAGGGGUAUAGCAUACAUAUUUUCUAGUAUUUCCAACAACUCAGAAAAAUGGGUGUUGCUAAAAUUGUGGAAACUGAGUCCUAGGAUGAUGAAUUAGUAAAUUGUUCAAGUUGGGAUUCAAUCCACAUUUGUCUUACUCUUAGGACUAAAUGCUUUAAGAAGUAACUCUAAACCAGAGCCUUUUGCUGGAUACUAUGGAGACAAUGAAACGUUAAGAGAGGGACAGGGGGAGGUUGAUGCUAUUCUUAGUGAUAGUCAGAUCUCUCCAGUUUAUUGUUAAACCAGAUCUACUGAAAGAAAUUUCUUUUUCUGUAUGUUGCCAUUUUUACAAAGAGAUUUAUUUCUCCAUGAAUCCAAAUUAUCAUGGCCUAUCAUUGUAAGCUGACGAGAAAAGAAUGGAGAGACUCCUCUGAAACAUCCACAAAGCAGCCCAGCGGGAAGUACACUAAAAGGGAGAGGAGAGUAAAUCUUUGGCAGUUUGGGCCACUUUCAACACAGCACGAGCCAGGGCAAUAUCAUGGCUGCUGGAGACUGCCAGCUACGGAUGAAGCCAGGACAGCAGGUUCCAGGGCUAUUGGCCAGACAUGAAUAGAAGUCAGUGAAGACAGGCAUGUAGUUGCAGUUCUGCUAAAAACAUCUGGGCUCAGAUAAAAAUAUGUAUCAGGCAAUUCCUUUGUUAGUACUAUGCUAGCUUUGCGACAUUAAAAUAAGUACAUACAAAGAAUGGCUUUGCUUCCUUGCCCACAGGAGUUUCAUUCAUUCAAUAAAUAUUUAUUGAACACCUACAGUGUGCCAGACACGUUCAGUCUAUACGUAUACAUCCAUGAACAAAGCAGACAGAGAUCCCUGCUGCGUGUAGCUGACUAUUCAGUGGGAAAAGACAGACAAUAGACAGUAAACACAAUUGAAGCAAGUUUUGCAAAUUCCACAGCCUGCCGUGGUUGCAGUAUAAAGAGCAAGCUUUACUGGGGAAGCUUAAGUCCAGAAUCAACAAGAAGAGGCACGUGGUCCAGCCAUCUGAUACUCAUUUUAAGCUCAUUUGUUUCCAAUGUCUGUGUAUUCUCAUUUUCCUUUUUCAUUUUAUUAUUUUUUUAAUUUGUAAAACCUUUACAUUGCUCAAUAUAUUUAGAGCAUUAUCACUGCCUCUAUAUCCUCAGCCCCCUUCUCCUGCCCUCCCUAAGACACAGCUUUUACUAAUUUUUAAAUUUAUUCUUCUAGAGCCUGUGCUUUUGGCAAAAAUAAGCAGUCUUCUUUGUCUUCUUUUCUUACACAAAAGAUAGAAUCUAUGUAUAUCUUUUAUCUAUUCAUCCAAUCUUUUGUUCUUAAUCUUGGUUUUUUGUUUUGUUUUUUGACAGAAUCUCGCUCUGUCGCCUAUGCUGGAGUGCAGUGGCACAACCAAGGCUCACUAGAACCUUUACUCAAGCGAUCCUCCUGCCUCAGCCCAAUCAAAUAGCUGAGACUAAACGUAUACACCACCAAACCGGGCUAAUAGACGAGGUUUCACCAUGUUGCCCAGGCUGGUCUCAAACUCCUGGACUCAAGUAAUCCACCCACCUCAGCCUCCAAAAUGUUGGGAAUACACUGCACCCAGCCGAGAACUUCUCUUUUUCAUAGCUGUUUCGUUCUCUAUUUUGUGAAUGCACCAUAAUUGAUUUAACAAGUCCCCUAUUGAUGGAUAUUUGUUAUUGUUUUUUUUCUCUUUUCUUUUUAAUUUAUAUGGGCACAUAGUAGGUGUAUAUAUUUAUGGGCUAUGUGAGAUAUUUUGAUACAUGCAAAGUCGAAUAAUCACUUCAAGGUAAAUGGAGUGUCCAUCACUUCAAGCAUUUCGUUGUGUUAGGAACAUUCCAAUUACACUCUUUUAGUUAUUUUUAAAUGUACAAUAAAUUUUUGUUGACUGUAGUCACGCUGUUAUGCUAUCAAAUACUAGAUCUUAUUCAUUCUAACUACAUUUUUGUAACCAUUAACCAUCCUCACUUUCCUCCCCACCCCCACUACCCUUCCCAACCACUGAUAACUGUUACUCUAUUUUUUAUCUUCAUGAGUUCGAUUGUUUAAAUUUUUAGCUCCCACAAAUGAGUGACAACAUGUGAAAUUUGUCCUUCUAUGCCUGGCUUAUUCCAUUUAACACAAUACCCUCUAGUUCCAUCCGUGUUGUUGCAAAUAAUAAGAUCUCAUUUUUUAUGACUGAAUAAUACCCUGUUGUAUACCACAUUUUCAUUCUUUUUCAUUUAUUUUACUUUAAGUUCCAAAAUACAUGUGCAGUAUGUGUAGGUUUGUUACGUAAGUAUACAUGUGCCAUGGUGGUUUGCUGUACCUAUCAACCUAUCUUCUAGGUUUUAAGCCCCAAAUGCAUUAGAUAUUUGUCCUAAUGCUCUCCUUCCCCUUGCCCCCCACACUGUAACAGGCACUGGUGUGUGUUGUUUCUCCCUGUGUCCAUGUGUUCUCAUUGUUCAGCUUCCACUUAUGAGUGAGAACAUGUGGUGUUUGGUUUUCUGUUCCUUUGUUAGUUUGCUGAGAAUAAUGGCUUCCAGCUUCAUCCAUGUCCCUGCAAAGGACAUGAUCUCAUUCCUUUUACAGCUGCAUA
ensembl:lncRNA